rnacentral:rRNA from 2 species
UGAGUAACACGUGGGAAACCUGCCCAGAAGCGGGGGAUAACACCUGGAAACAGAUGCUAAUACCGCAUAACAACUUGGACCGCAUGGUCCGAGUUUGAAAGAUGGCUUCGGCUAUCACUUUUGGAUGGUCCCGCGGCGUAUUAGCUAGAUGGUGGGGUAACGGCUCACCAUGGUAAUGAUACCUAGCCUACCUGAGAGGGUAAUCGGCCACAUUGGGACUGAGACACGGCCCAUACUCCUACGGGAGGCAGCAGUAGGGAAUCUUCCACAAUGGACGAAAGUCUGAUGGAGCAACGCCGCGUGAGUGAAGAAGGGUUUCGGCUCGUAAAACUCUGUUGUUAAAGAAGAACAUAUCUGAGAGUAACUGUUCAGGUAUUGACGGUAUUUAACCAGAAAGCCACGGCUAACUACGUGCCAGCAGCCGCGGUAAUACGUAGGUGGCAAGCGUUGUCCGGAUUUAUUGGGCGUAAAGCGAGCGCAGGCGGUUUUUUAAGUCUGAUGUGAAAGCCUUCGGCUCAACCGAAGAAGUGCAUCGGAAACUGGGAAACUUGAGUGCAGAAGAGGACAGUGGAACUCCAUGUGUAGCGGUGAAAUGCGUAGAUAUAUGGAAGACACCAGUGGCGAAGGCGGCUGUCUGGUCUGUAACUGACGCUGAGGCUCGAAAGUAUGGGUAGCAACAGGAUUAGAUACCCUGGUAGUCCAUACCGUAAACGAUGAAUGCUAAGUGUUGGAGGGUUUCCGCCCUUCAGUGCUGCAGCUAACGCAUUAAGCAUUCCGCCUGGGGAGUACGGCCGCAGGCUGAAACUCAAAGG